rnacentral:lncRNA from 1 species
AUGGGAACCCAUACGUUUGGGGAUCAGAUUGACCUGAGUUUUAAUCUCAUCCCUGCCAUUCAUUCAUUGUGAGAUUAUUCAUUCAUUCAAAAUAGGUCAGAUAUGGGAUAAAAGCUUCAAAAGCUAUUCCUAAGAAAUGACUAUCUAGUGAUGGAUACGGAGAAGUAGAUUGUAACAGACUGUGAUAAAUGGGGAAAAAACAGAAGGUAGGAAGGACAGAGAGGGAGCACUGAAUCCAGUGUUGCUUGGCGUGGUUGUGGUGGUCAGAAAUCAUGGGUUGCUUCCUGGAAGAAGCAUCAAAGCAUAGGGCUUCCUCCAGGAAGCACUGAGAAGGGAGAGGCAUUAGCAUGCAGAAGAGGUGUGCAGCAGGGAUGGUGUUCCAGGCAGAAGUCUGUGGACAAACAUGAGCAUGGAGUGGAAUGGGGUAGCGGGAGGCAGACCAGGCUGAAAGGGGAGCAGGGGCUGAACAAUUAAGGCCAUGAAAGCUGUUCUAAAGUUUCGACUUUAUCAGAGGUCAAGGGAGAAUCGUGGGAGGGUGUGAAGCAGAGGAAAGGCAUGAGCACCACGCAUUUUCAAGCAUUUUUGGCUGCUUUGUGAAAAACAGACCAAAGCGGAAUGAGGCAGGAAGUGGGGACAAAAGUCCAGAGGCUAUCACAUAGUACAGGUGAGAGAUGGUAGCAGCUGGGUUGAAGGAAGGCUGUGGGGUUACGAUAAACAGUCACCCGUGGAACUGGGGGAUGUUUGUGAUGUGGUCACAGGAUCCUAGGGGAAGAACAGAAUGUUAUUAGGUGCCAGAUGCUUCAAUUGCCUCAUGUUAUUUCUAGUAACAUCCCUGUGAGGUGGGCAUGGACCUGACAGGGUGAGUGAUGUGCCCACAGCUGGCAAGUGGUAGUGGCAGAACUCAACCCCAGGUCUGCCUAUCCCCAGACCUGUGGUUUGUCACCACUGGAUCAUGCAGUUUUCCUAAGUCAAAUGUAACAAGUUAUUGCUUAUCAUAUUUAAAUUAAGACCCAUAGAAGUUUUACCAAUUCUGGAAAAUUUAAAUGGAGUGAUAAAUGCACUGAAGAUAAAAGACUGAAGAAAGUUGUUGAUUGAUAUCUUUGGAAUGACCAUCAGCAUCCAUCUCCUUCUGUGAAAACCCCAGCCACCAUCCUCUCUGGGAUUUUGAGGUCAGGUGUCAUUAUCACUAGGAAGUCUCCCUGGAUUCCUACUUCCUCAUCAACAUUUAUUUUAUUUUAUUAAUUAAAUUAAUUAAUUAAUUUAGAGACAGAGUCUCCCUCUGUUGCCCAGGCUGGAGUGCAUGGUG